AACGAACGCUGGCGGCAUGCCUAACACAUGCAAGUCGAACGAGACCUUCGGGUCUAGUGGCGCACGGGUGCGUAACGCGUGGGAACCUGCCCUUAGGUUCGGAAUAACUCCCCGAAAGGGGUGCUAAUACCGGAUAAUGUCUUCGGACCAAAGAUUUAUCGCCUUUGGAUGGGCCCGCGUUGGAUUAGCUAGUUGGUAGGGUAAAAGCCUACCAAGGCGACGAUCCAUAGCUGGUCUGAGAGGAUGAUCAGCCACACUGGGACUGAGACACGGCCCAGACUCCUACGGGAGGCAGCAGUGGGGAAUAUUGGACAAUGGGCGAAAGCCUGAUCCAGCAAUGCCGCGUGAGUGAUGAAGGCCCUAGGGUUGUAAAGCUCUUUUACCCGGGAUGAUAAUGACAGUACCGGGGGAAUAAGCUCCGGCUAACUCCGUG
rnacentral:rRNA from 1 species